UUAAUGUUUGUGUUUACCUCAUGUUACAAUCAAAUUGGGGUAACUGACUGCUCUGGAUAAGUCAAUAGUUGCUGUAACUGGCCAUAAUACUAAUUGUUUAUGUUCUCAUUUUCUUCCAGGCAAUAUACUCUUCCUGCCCACUCAUCAAUAGUUUCCGAGUUUUGUGGCAUUGCAGACAUUACAAUUGAUUGUGUUCCAUUGAAUGUAAACUACAAUACUUCUUGAGGUAAUGUGUAUUUAAUUUGUUAAGGUUAAGUUUUUGUUGAAAUCUUUUCCUGUAUGGUGUCAAGUCUCCUGUUUUUAAUAUGUGACAAAUUAGCCCUUUGUUUUCUUCUGAAGGCUAAAUUGAGACGAAACCUGGUAGCACUAUAGUGGAGAUGAGUGUGUAACGUUGCAUGUUGUGCCACACCCAUGCCUGUUAUUCAGCUGCUUACAAAAUUCACCAUUUGGGAACUGAGCUUUUUAUGUGUGUUACUGGACAUUUGCUAAAUUCUUGGCUCAAUUUUAAUUUAUUUUAUCGAUCUUUACUGUUGCUGAGUUUCAUAGCUCUUUGUAAGGGGCAAGUUUACAGUUUUGAAUAGGUAUAGUGACAUGGUAAAGCAAAUAUAUAAAUAUAUACUGGGUAGGUUCCAUGUUUACCAAAUGCUUUUCUCAAAUCAGAAAGUAGUCCAGCAUCAAGAUUAUUCUUAUCAAAUGUUUCUUGUAUGUAUUGAACUGCAUGCAUUUACCAUUGCACAGUAUGUGUAUUUUCUUGAUGUGAAGCUGUACAAGCUUAAGUAAAAUUUGUGCAAGAUUAUAUUGUUUUUUCAUAAGAAGUGUUGUGAAGUGUAACAUCAAUUUCCUUUUGUGAGUGCUCUUCUAAGUUUGUGUAGAAAAUAUUUUAGCCAAACCUUUUUAUUAAUUUUAGAACACACUUCUACAGCAUUAUGAAAAACAGUUUCGGAGAACAGUGUGUUUUUCACAUUCCCAUCUCUCAUACAUCUGUGUAGUCCUAAAGCUGUGUUUUUUUGUUGUUUUUUUUUUUUUUUUGCUUGCGAGGUGGAGUUGAAAGCUUGAUAUCUGUCUGAUUUUAAACAUCCUAAUCAUACUGCAGAUGAAUGUGGACAAAACCUUUCUUGUCUACAUUAUUCAGAAUUCAUUGUACGUGUAUGAGGAAACAUGGUUAAAAAUGAGCAUACAUCCAGCAGUCAGCAGCAGCAAGUAUUGAAGUUUUGAUGUUACAUUUUACUUCUGUACUACAGAAUCAGGAGAAGAGGAAUUGCUGCGUCCAACACAAAGGACAAACUACCAUGUAUUAGUCAAGUACUAUAUGGACUACACCAAUCUGUGCGUGAGAUUUAUUGGACGAGGUCACCAUCCAUUGGUACCAGUUGAACAACA